rnacentral:rRNA from 1 species
AGGAUUCCCCUAGUAACUGCGAGUGAAGCGGGAAAAGCUCAAAUUUAAAAUCUGGUGGUCUUUGGCCAUCCGAGUUGUAAUUUAGAGAAGCGUCUUCCGCGCUGGACCGUGCACAAGUCUCCUGGAAUGGAGCGUCGUAGAGGGUGAGAAUCCCGUCUUUGGCACGGACGCACCAGUGCUUCUGUGAUGCGCUCUCGAAGAGUCGAGUUGUUUGGGAAUGCAGCUCAAAAUGGGUGGUGAACUCCAUCUAAAGCUAAAUAUUGGCGAGAGACCGAUAGCGAACAAGUACCGUGAGGGAAAGAUGAAAAGCACUUUGGAAAGAGAGUGAAACAGUACGUGAAAUUGUUGAAAGGGAAACGCUUGAAGUCAGUCGCGUCGCCCGAGACUCAGCCUUGCCUUGGCUUGGUGUACUUCUCGGCCGACGGGUCAGCAUCAAUUUUGCCCCUUGGAUAAUGGCGAGGGAAAUGUGACACCUUUACGGGUGUGUUAUAGUCUUUUGUCGCAUGCAAGGGUUGGGAUUGAGGAACUCAGCACGCGCCCUCGGGCGUCGGGGUUCGCCCACGAUACGUGCUUAGGAUGUUGGCGUAAUGGCUUUAAACGACCCGUCUUGAAACACGGACCAAGGAGUCUAACAUGCCCGCGAGUGUUCGGGUGGAAAACCCGUGCGCGCAAUGAAAGUGAAAGUUGGGACCUCUGUCGUGGAGGGCACCAACGCCCGGACCAGACCUUCUGUGACGGAUCUGCGGUAGAGCGUGUAUGUUAGGACCCGAAAGAUGGUGAACUAUGCCUGAAUAGGGUGAAGCCAGAGGAAACUCUGGUGGAGGCUCGUAGCGAUUCUGACGUGCAAAUCGAUCGUCAAAUU